rnacentral:rRNA from 1 species
UACGGAGGGUGCGAGCGUUGCCCGGAAUCACUGGGCGUAAAGGGCGCGUAGGCGGCCUGAUAAGUAGGGGGUGAAAUCCUGCGGCUUAACCGCAGGGCUGCCUUCUAAACUGUCAGGCUCGAGCACAGUAGAGGCAGGUGGAAUUCCCGGUGUAGCGGUGGAAUGCGUAGAGAUCGGGAAGAACAUCAGUGGCGAAGGCGGCCUGCUGGGCUGUUGCUGACGCUGAGGCGCGACAGCGUGGGGAGCAAACAGG